AAAGGCUCAAAGAUAAAACAUCAGGAUGAAUUUGACAUGCUGUACCUGCAAGCUCUUUGUGGCAGCGCUUUAGGGGAUGAAGUGGAUAUUAAGAAAACCAUGUGGCAAAAGAUAAAAGCUUUCUUUCAAAACG